GGCUGCCCUGGUUCAGUUAUCACAGUGCUGAUGCUGUCCAUCUUAAAGGUACAGUACUGUGAUAACUGAAGGAUGGCUGCC
ensembl:miRNA mir101a microRNA 101-1